rnacentral:rRNA from 1 species
UUAUGGAGAGUUUGAUCCUGGCUCAGGAUGAACGCUGGCGGCGUGCCUAAUACAUGCAAGUCGAGCGAACAGACGAGGAGCUUGCUCCUCUGACGUUAGCGGCGGACGGGUGAGUAACACGUGGGUAACCUACCUAUAAGACUGGGAUAACUCCGGGAAACCGGGGCUAAUACCGGAUAACACAUGAAACCGCAUGGUUUCAUGAUGAAAGACGGUUUUGCUGUCACUUAUAGAUGGACCCGCGGCGUAUUAGCUAGUUGGUAAGGUAACGGCUUACCAAGGCAACGAUACGUAGCCGACCUGAGAGGGUGAUCGGCCACACUGGAACUGAGACACGGUCCAGACUCCUACGGGAGGCAGCAGUAGGGAAUCUUCCGCAAUGGGCGAAAGCCUGACGGAGCAACGCCGCGUGAGUGAUGAAGGUCUUCGGAUCGUAAAACUCUGUUAUUAGGGAAGAA